rnacentral:rRNA from 1 species
GACGAACGCUGGCGGCGUGCUUAACACAUGCAAGUCGAACGGUAAGGCCCUUCGGGGUACACGAGUGGCGAACGGGUGAGUAACACGUGGGUGGUCUGCCCUGCACUUCGGGAUAAGCCUGGGAAACUGGGUCUAAUACCGGAUAGGACCACUGCCUGCAUGGGUGGUGGUGGAAAGCUUUUGCGGUGUGGGAUGGGCCCGCGGCCUAUCAGCUUGUUGGUGGGGUGAUGGCCGACCAAGGCGACGACGGGUAGCCGGCCUGAGAGGGUGACCGGCCACACUGGGACUGGGAUACGGCCCAGACUCCUACGGGAGGAAGAAGUGGGGAAUAUUGCACAAUGGGCGCAAGCCUGAUGCAGCGACGCCGCGUGAGGGAUGACGGCCUUCGGGUUGUAAACCUCUUUCAGCACCGACGAAGCGCAAGUGACGGUAGGUGCAGAAGAAGGACCGGCCAACUACGUGCCAGCAGCCGCCGUAA